rnacentral:lncRNA from 1 species
AGACCCGGAGUGGCCCUGGUGGCGGGGCCGGGGUACCGGGGGCCGUUCUUUGUCGGUUUGGGCCUUGAGGGGGAGAUGGUGGUUGGUCCCCUCCCUCGCCGGGUCUGGGACAGGCCGCGGCGUCAUGGCGACUCCCGGGACGCAGGAGCCAUCGUCCUCGAAACUGCUUUCGAGGCCGUGUUUUUGCGGCUGCCACCUUCGGGGAGAGGAACCCGACCGCGUUCUCCCCGCAGCGGGCGCUCAUCUCCCUUUCCCGUUCUCCCGGGACGCCCGACUCCGGGCCUCGAGGAAUGAGUUGUUUUUCCACCUUAAGCCCCAGGCCUGGGUCUUUCAUCCCAGGGACGUCUUCUGUUUCGGACUCGGGGUGGAUUGGCCGCUGGCGGAACGAGUCCGUGACUCGCCAGUGACCGCCCAGGGCGGUCGCGAGGCCGCGCCGCCUCGGUGUCGGCCCGCAACCCAGCCUGCGCGCUUAGCUCAGCGCGUCGCCUCCCGUUUUCGGAAGAGGAGGCCCUUAAUUGGUUUGGAAUCCUGGGGCCUCCUGAAGGCGCUUCGUGGUGGGUUCCCACCUUCUGGUGAAGGCCUCCCUGCUCUCCCAGGGUUGAAAAGCGCUAUCCUUCGUGCUUCUCUUGUCACCUUUCUCCUAGUGGGCAUCACGUCGAGUCCACCCCCUCUAGUUUAUGACUUGUGAAUUCUUUGAUAAGCAAAUCGUAGCCCAGAGCAGGCAUUUAUAAUGAGAUUCCAAUGUAUUCCGUUGAAAAUUACUAUUAUUUAGGCCGGUCGCGGUGGCUCACGUCUGUAAUCCCAGCACUUUGGGAGGCUGAGGUGGGCGGAUCACCUGAGGUCGGGAAUUUGAGACCAGCCUGGCCAAUAUGGUGGAACCCUGUCUCUACUAAAAAUACAAAAAAUUAGCUGGGCGUGGUGGCUCGCUUGUAAUCCCAGCUACUCGGGAGGCUGAGGCAGGAGAAUCCUUGAACCCGGGAGGCACAGGUUACAGUGAGCCGAGAUCACACCACUGCACUCCAGCCUGGACAACAGAGCGAGACUGUCUCCAAAAAAAAAAAAAAAGAAAAUUUUUAUUAUUUAGAGAGAGGCUCUCAUAUUUUAGUUCUGUUGAAACUCUCCCAUUCUUUCUGAAACUUGGAUUUUUUUUGUGAAAACUUGAGUCUUAAAAACACAUCCAUAGUUCACCCUGAAGUUUGAAGACCUCACUUGACUGAUGGAGCGAGAGCCCCGCUAACCUGCACUCUGGUCUCUAAGGUGCAGUCAUCGAGAAGUCCUGAGCGGCCGUGCAGGUUUCCCGAUCUGGAAAAGAGAAAUGUUGCUGAGGACAGGAUGAGGUAGAUAAGGGGCUGCCCUUUGUUUUGGACCAGUUGCAUUUGCACUGAGGUUAGAAUUGGCAGCUAUGUUGAUUUUUAUAUCAAAAUCCAAGAUCGUGCUUCCAUAACUAAAAGCUUUAUAAACAACUUAAAAAUUGGCAGUGUUGGUAGGAAGAAAUAAAGGCACAAUCCAGAAUUGAGAGGUGAUUUGUGUCCUUUAGGGCAGGGACUUUUAUAAUCCCGCAGUGUGUACCUUGGUGUAUAGUUGUUAAGCCAAGUGCACAGUGCCUUGUGAGUACCAGGGUUCCCAUCAGACAAACUAGAAAAGGGGAUCCCAGACAUGCUGCUGCUGUUUCACUGUGGAGCAUGACUUAGCAGUAUUGAAACAGAUCUGACUUUUUGCUUGGCAGCACAAAAAUGAUGUUAUUUUAGAAACUCUGUUGGAAAGUAUAGGCAUGAAACUAGUCUGAGGUGAGAGGCCUGCCUUUUCAGAAAAGUUUUAAUGAAACACGAAGUAAUUAGCUUUUUUGUAUGUUUAGUGGCACAAUUUUUAAUUUCGUUGAAGUUUGUAAUAAUUUUAACUGCUUUUUAAUAUGUGUACCACUCAUUUGUAUGCAACCAUGGACAACUUAAAAAAAUACUUUUGUGUUCUUUUUCUCCCUUUUAUUUUUAGUUAAUACAUAAUAACACAUUUGUGGGAUACAAAGUGAUAUUUCAGUACAUGUAUACAACGUGUAAUGAUCAAAGCACAGUAAUCAGCAUAUCCAUCACCUCAGAUGUUUAUCAUUUCUUUGUGUUGGGAACAUUCAGAAUUCUCUCUUCUAGCUUUUUGAAAAUAUACAAUAGAUUGUUGUUAAGUAUAUUUACCUUGAAAUACUACAGAGCACUAGAACUUAUUGAGCUGCAAUUUUGUAUCAACCUCUCCCUCUCCUCUCCUCCCACUAGCCUUCCCAGCUUCUAAUAAACCACAAUUCAAGUCUCUACUUCCAUGAACUCGAAUUUUUUUUUAGCUCCCACAUAUGAAUGAGAAUAUGUGGUAUUUAUCUUUCUGUGCCUGACUUAUUUCACUUAAUAUGAUACUGU